GUAGUCCAUGCCGUAAACGUUGGGCGCUAGGUGUGGGGCUCUUUCCACGAGUUCCGUGCCGCAGCAAACGCAUUAAGCGCCCCGCCUGGGGAGUACGGCCGCAAGGCUAAAACUCAAAGGAAUUGACGGGGGCCCGCACAAGCGGCGGAGCAUGCGGAUUAAUUCGAUGCAACGCGAAGAACCUUACCAAGGCUUGACAUGGGGCGAAAACUACUAGAGAUAGUAGGUCCGCAAGGGCGCCUCACAGGUGGUGCAUGGUUGUCGUCAGCUCGUGUCGUGAGAUGUUGGGUUAAGUCCCGCAACGAGCGCAACCCUCGUUCUAUGUUGCCAGCACGUAAUGGUGGGGACUCAUAGGAGACUGCCGGGGUCAACUCGGAGGAAGGUGGGGAUGACGUCAAAUCAUCAUGCCCCCUAUGUCUUGGGCUUCACGCAUGCUACAAUGGCCAGUACAAAGGGCUGCGAGACCGUAAGGUGGAGCGAAUCCCAAAAAGCUGGUCUCAGUUCGGAUCGGGGUCUGCAACUCGACCCCGUGAAGUCGGAGUCGCUAGUAAUCGCAGAUCAGCAACGCUGCGGUGAAUACGUUCCCGGGCCUUGUACACACCGCCCGUCACGUCACGAAAGUCGGUAACACCCGAAGCCGGUGGCCCAACCCUUGUGGAGGGAGCCGUCGAAGGUGGGACUGGCGAUUGGGGUG
rnacentral:rRNA from 1 species